GCCCCGGGUCUUGUACACACCGAGGGCAUAACGCGAAGAACCUUACCAGGGCUUGACAUCCUACUAACGAAGUAGAGAUACAUCAGGUGCCCUUCGGGGAAAGUAGAGACAGGUGGUGCAUGGUUGUCGUCAGCUCGUGUCGUGAGAUGUUGGGUUAAGUCCCGCAACGAGCGCAACCCUUAUUGUUAGUUGCUACGCAAGAGCACUCUAGCGAGACUGCCGUUGACAAAACGGAGGAAGGUGGGACGACGUCAAAUCAUCAUGCCCCUUAUGUCCUGGGCCACACACGUAAUACAAUGGCGCCUAACAGAGGGAUGCAAAGCCGUGAGGUGGAGCGAACCCUAAAAAGCGUCUCAGUUCGGAUUGCAGGCUGAAACCCGCCUGCAUGAAGUCGGAAUCGCUAGUAAUCGCGGAUCAGAAUGCCGCGGUGAAUACGUUCCCGG
rnacentral:rRNA from 1 species